GGUUCCUUCCUUUACCUGAUGCUCGAGUUCACGAGCUGCUCCGAGUGUUAUUUCCACUCGAGUGUCGUUUCGGAGCAGUUCGAGUAUACACAGUGAAUGUUUUGGCAAAUUUCGAUUCCGGAGAAAUCGCGCAGAAUUUAGACUUGGAAACCAUACGUGUCCCUCCCGGUAUAAAUCAUAAUCGCUUGCGCGUUCAAAAAUAACCUGCCGGCGUUCGAGGUAGCGAAUGACAUGAUCGCCGUGCGGCCACUCGAAACUCAGAAGCAGCAGCAGCGGAGGCAGUGGCGUAGGAAGCGAAAAAAACGAAGCUACGCGCAGCGAGGCGAGAAAGAAAAAGAAGCAGCGAAGGAGGAGGGAAAUAGCCGAGCCGAGAGUGGUCUCUGCAUUAUCGGCGGAAUGUGCACGAGCAGUAGUAGCAGCAGCAGCAGUCUCGAGCCGGUGCCGUGAGGGGGAUGGCGCGGAGGCGGGGGCGAGGAAACGAGCCAAGCUGCGAUUUCGUCGUCGUAAACGUCAACGUUACGGUUACAGUGCCGUUUCGUAGCUGGUUUAUAUUGAACGAAGUUACUCCCCGAGGGGUUUGCAGCGAUAAAUCAGUCAAACCAAAACGAGUCCACUGGCAUUUAGCUUGACUAAAUCCAGUACAAUGCUGCCGGGCACAGGACACACGUUAAUGCCCUUUUAAAAAGGUAUACACGCACCGCCAGAAGAGGGAAACGACUGCGCAGGGUAACGCUGGCUCUCCCGCCCUCUAAUUACCCUACAGGCCGACGUCUACCGCGCGGCGCCCCUUGGCUCAAUGAGAAAUCGUAAAUAUCUAGCCGGAACAUCUGCGGAGAGUGAGAGAAAGUGAUCUACUCGCACAGCUUUGUGUCGCACGAGUAAAGCGAAUUUUCUCCGUGGUCGCCUCCUCUAACAUUUCCAGCGAAGAAAGGAAGAGGAGCAAGCGGGAGGGAAGAUAAAAGAUGCAUUGCGAGCGCACGCAGGUAUCGAGCAAGUGCUGCGACCUUACCGGAACGAUUUCGUUAUCUCGAAACCUCUUGCUGGCGCAAGUAGCCGGUGAGGCAGGUAUACAUAAGUGAGGGAGAGAGACUCGUCCAGCAACAGCAGCAAAACAACUAUACGCUCGACGCAUUCGCAAGAGAGAAGAGGUCUAUACUUUAUUGGCCCGGGCGAAUAACACACACGCACGCUCACGCAAGGUCCAUUCAUCCGGAGGCAGGGCCGAUGGAAUAUUUUUAGUUUGGAGCGCCGAUAAAUUCACGCUAAAGUUCGCGCGCGCGCGCGCGCUUGCGAAGCGAGAAUGAGGGAAAGAGAGAAGCAUGACGAACGCUCUCGUAUAUUUCAAUCGAGCUCGAAAAUGCGCUGCGUGCGGGAAUCGGAGUCGAAAAUCGCGCUUCGACGCGUCAGCGCGUUCGAAUUUUCCACGCGGGAAAAUUAGAUUUUUUCGAUACACUUUAUAUUCAUGCAGUACAUCAAAAUAAUGCGACUCUUCCACUGCGAGCAUACUUGUCAACUCCGUAUACAAGCGUUAAUUCUCUCCCCUCGUGUAACGUUCUCACCACGGACAUAAGCCACGAAAAAAAAAGGACAACGAGCUCGAAACAAAUCGCGGCUCGGCAAAUUGACUUAGCAAAAUCGCCCGCCUCUCAAUUUAACUCCUCGGCUUCUCCCGCGGCAGGUUCACCCCUCGGCAACAGAGAGAAUACAGCAACGCGUGUGUGUAUCGCGCACUUAAUACGCAUUCAUACGCACGCCCUCCCCGGCGCUCCGUAACAUUUCCGCGCGCGCGGACCCUCGAAAAGGGCGCGAAGACACGUUGUACACACACACAUAGUCGCGAGAGAGAGAGAGAGAGAGAGAGGGAGCCGAACAAUGUACGCAAACACACCGAGAGCAGACAGCGCGCGCGAGCGAGCACGUGCUCUCCGGCUACUGUCUGUCCGUCUGCAGCGCACGCGACUUUCGCGGGCCGCGCUUGUGUACACUUGUAUGAUAA
rnacentral:lncRNA from 1 species